rnacentral:rRNA from 1 species
CUACGGAGGGUGCAAGCGUUAAUCGGAAUUACUGGGCGUAAAGCGUACGUAGGCGGUUCGUUAAGUUAGAUGUGAAAGCCCCGGGCUUAACCUGGGAACUGCAUUUAAAACUGGCGAACUAGAGUUGAGUAGAGGGGAGUGGAAUUUCAGGUGUAGCGGUGGAAUGCGUAGAGAUCUGAGGGAACACCAGUGGCGAAGGCGACUCCCUGGACUCGAACUGACGCUGAGGUACGAAAGCGUGGGUAGCAAACGGGAUUAGAAACCCUUGUAGUCC